rnacentral:sRNA from 1 species
UAAUACUAGGAGCAGGCUUAGGGACCCC